AUUCUUGUCUAUCCCAUGACAGAACUGCUUACGUUCUAUCUGUCUCAUCAGCUGUGAGUCUCUUCUGCAUGCUGUGACCACAGAGCAGACUUUCUGCAGAUCUACUCACAGGGAAUCCAGGGAGGUUGUGGGAGUUUGCUUUUUGCCUGCUCUGUGGGGGCCUCCUGUGGCCUGAAUUAGAUGGCUGCUUCUCUUACUGCGAGGCAAAAAUAACUGGUGACUUAGACGAGGGAGAGCAGCGUGACUAAUGCCACGAUCAGAGAGAAGCGGUCGCUCCCUGUGUGUUUUGGAACGUUAUGACGCUUUUCAUCUGAAAGGACAACCUCUGUACUUUCAGUUUUUGGAAGAUUGGUUAAGAAUUUCUUUGAAUGGAUUCGAGCAAAGGAGGAUACCACCACCCCAUUGCAAGACAAAGAACUGGCAGUAGAAGAAGUAAGAAGUGUUCAGAGACAAGAACCACAGGAUAUGGCAGCAUUAUUGCCAACUUUAAUUUCAGUAUUUUUGUCAUUUAGAGCUGAGCAAUAUCACAGUAACAGUGUAAAACCUGUCAUCAAUACAAAUAGGGCAAAAACCCCAAACCAGGCAACAAAAAAUCAUAACCUGUAAUCCUCCACAGCCACAGACACACAUAGUCUGCAUGCAAUCUGCUCCUCAUAAGCGAUGUAGUACUUUGUGCUAGUUUCAUGCUAUGAAAACACAGACACAGCCUUUCUGAAAACAGGGAAGUUUAUCAGCAGAAAGUAGUGGAAUAAAGUGAGUAGUUGAAUUAAUUAAAGCAUUUAAUAUUACUUAUUCUACGGAAACAAGAGGGAAACCCUUCUAAAACUUUUAGAGCAUCUUGAAAAUCCAAUUCUUUUUGAUCCAUGAAAAAAAAGAGAAAAGAAAACAAGCUACAUUUGCCUGAUCACUGAAAUAUCUUGCUAUGCUUACCCUGCAGCUGAAUAUAUGCCGCCACAUACAUCGUAACUCAGCGAGCUUAGUGAGUACGAUUUCAGCAGCUGACGCUGCCGGAGCAGCCGGC